GAUGAACGCUGGCGGCGUGCCUAAUACAUGCAAGUCGAGCGAAUGGAUUAAGAGCUUGCUCUUAUGAAGUUAGCGGCGGACGGGUGAGUAACACGUGGGUAACCUGCCCAUAAGACUGGGAUAACUCCGGGAAACCGGGGCUAAUACCGGAUAACAUUUUGAACCGCAUGGUUCGAAAUUGAAAGGCGGCUUCGGCUGUCACUUAUGGAUGGACCCGCGUCGCAUUAGCUAGUUGGUGAGGUAACGGCUCACCAAGGCAACGAUGCGUAGCCGACCGAGGAGGGUGAUCGGCCACACUUGGACGGAGACACGGCACAGACUCCGACGGGGGGCAGCAGUAGGGAAUCUUCCGCAAUGGACGAAAGUCUGACGGAGCAACGCCGCGUGAGUGAUGAAGGCUUUCGGGUCGUAAAACUCUGUUGUUAGGGAAGAACAAGUGCUAGUUGAAUAAGCUGACACCUUGACGGUACCUAACCAGAAAGCCACGGCUAACUACGUGCCAGCCGCCGCCGUAA
rnacentral:rRNA from 1 species